rnacentral:lncRNA from 1 species
UACAUUGAUGCAUCUUCUCAAUUGCAACCUAAUCAAACUGCUGAACUACAUCUUCCAUAUAUAGCUCAUUAAGGAGUUUGAAGAAUAUUUCCUUGUGACUUAUAGUGGUGAGUAUAGUAGAAUAAUGCGGACCACAUGUACAAAUAAGAGAAUAAGGAAGAGAAAUACACAAUGUAUAACCAAGGAUAAUGAAAGAAAGCUAAACGAUAAUUACCCCAAACAAACUCUCACCUAGCUAAUCUCCCAAAAUAUAAAAGGCAUCAUAAAAUAUUCAUAAGAAACAAACAAUCAACUGAUAAAGAAAGACGUAAUCUAAAUCACCAAAACAAAUCAAAUACUUCAAAAAAAUUAGGGCAUAUAAAAUUUAGCUAUGAUGAUAAAGGCCAUACUAAAAAUCUGAAUAUACAACACAUGUGUGACCAUCUCUUCAAGAGAACAACACAAAAGGGAGAUAAAACCGGUAGAUGGUACGCAUGAGCCCAAAACAGGCAGUAUUUCAUAUCCUUACUCCUAAUACCAUAUCGGCAUGCAGUAGGUUAGGCAGUGAAAGGAUACAUGAAAGAAAAAAUUAUGAGCCAACAAAUACAAUAAAAACGGAAUUACUAUAAGACCAUGUGACUUGUUGCACAUAUAGAAAUAAGAAAACUGAGAAAAAGAAAUGUGGUUAUAUCAGGAGAGAUAUCUUGGACUACCCAUUUGCUUUGCAUGGUGGCGAUAGCAAGAUCGUACAAUAAAAAAUAUAAAUAAAUAUUGGUGAUUCCCAAAAAUUAUACAAUGUAGAAUCAUUACGAAAAUAAACAUAAUAGGCAUCUCAGGUUGUAGAAUCGAUGGCAAAUUGUUGUGUUGGAAUAUGUUGCUAGCUUACAAACAUAAAAUAAAAAGAGGAGCCAGUUCUUGUGACAAAUUAGAAGUUUGUCCUUGAAGAACCAAAUAAAAAAUUUAGUAGCCUUUGUGAAAUUUUUCACGCACCGCCGCUUCACUUGCUUCCCUUCAAACUUGGUCGUACACCUGCAGAUAAAUAACCAUAGAAUACUCAACUGAAAAUAAUUGCUAAUGGAAUCAAAAUAGAAAUAAUAAUAAGCCACAAAAUAAUUAAGGGAAAGAUAAAUAGAACACACCUAGAGUUGUUGAAUUGGUACUAUAAGGUGGGAGAUUUGGUAGUGCUCACUAUUGUAAGGAAAAUGUUGGCCCAAAUAAAUUAGAUCAUACCAUUUUCAGCAAAAAGAUUUACGCUGCGUUUGGAUGUCUGUAUCGGAGGCCUCCGUAUUGAAUUAGUUUCAAUUCCAAUUCGGUGAGGAAACUGUAAUGGACACGAAUACGAAUUCAUUUGUUUGGAUGCUCAUGGAAUUGGCUCAUGGAAUCUCAAGGAGGUUUCAAUACCAAAUCAUGUUUGGAUGGCAAACUAUGGAAUUGCAUCUUCUUUGCAUCAAAUCAAAAUUUAUACAAUGUGUGAGUAUAAUUGAAUGAUUAUGUAGCAGUAAAAUUAACAAAUAUUUUUAGAAAUGCAUGUGACACCCGUUUGGAUGGCAAACUAUGAAAUAUUUUAGAAAUUACUAACAAUAAUAAGUGCUACAACAACAACUUUUCAAAAUAAAGUGCUCUGAUGUACCGUGCUUCAAAAAUCCAAACUUGGGCCUUUUUGUGUAAUUAUAGAUCCAACUGGUAAACCUCCCCGACAACAAAAUCUACUUAUCUAAGUACUCUAGCAUUCCUCAUAGGGCCUGGAACUUCAUCGAUCUUGUGUAACUAAUAUUUGGCCUGGGCAGAUUACAAGUAAGUAACUAUUGUACUUAUCAGAUAAAUUUACAAGAGUUACACUGCAUCAACAGUAGAAUUUACAAGAUUCAGAAACUUCAAAGCAAAGCCAGGGAAGAACAAAGGGUGGACGAGGGGGAUCCGGCAGCUGACCACAAAGAGGAUAUGGGGAACCGGCAGCACAGGAGGAGGGGUCCGGUGGGAGGCACGCCGGAGCACGGGAAGAGGAGGAGGAGCGGCGGCGGACGGGGAGUGACAGGACAUGGCGGCCAUGGGCAGGGGAGAUGCGGCAACCCUCUGUUCAUGGGGUGGCAGAGGAGAUGGCGAGGGGAUGAGGAGAAGGUUCGGCGGAGGGAUUGAGGAGGAGUAAUGGUGACGGGGAUGAGAAGGAGGGCCAACAAGGGAGGUUACCUGGCGGCGCCGUCGGGGUGUUCCUCGGCGUCGCCUCCUCUAGGCGCGCGGGGUGGGGACGGCUGCUUCGGUCAAAGCGGGGGAUAAAAGACGGG